rnacentral:lncRNA from 1 species
GUUGUCGUGCUUUAACUUCUCCCCGGAUCUCUAGCUUCAAGCCCUCAAUGAAGGUCCGUCAAUGUUCUCGUAAUCAGUUGGUUCGAAGCAGAUCAUUAGUCCUUCUUUGAAUUGUCACCAUAAGAGAAUUCCAUGAGUAUGUUCAAACCAGUCAAACCAUUAUAUAGCAUCCCCUUCAAGAUGUAUAGCCAUAAUUUUCACCAUAGAUGCGUUUACGAUUUUG